GGCUCAGAGCGAACGCUAGCGGGUGGCUUAACACAUGCAAGUCGAGCGGAGGCUUCGGCCUCAGCGGCGGACGGGUGAGUAACACGUAGGUAUCUGCCUUUUGGUGGGGCAUAGCCGGGGGAAACCCCGAUUAAUACCGCAUAUGGCCUAUGGGUCAAAGCCUUCGGGCGCCAGAAGAUGAGCCUGCGGCCGAUUAUUUAUUCCUAGUUGGUGGGGUAACGGCCUACCAAGGGUACGAUCGGUAGCUGGUCUGAGAGGACGAUCAGCCACACUGGAACUGAGACACGGUCCAGACUCCUACGGGAGGCAGCAGUGGGGAAUAUUGCGCAAUGGGCGAAAGCCUGACGCAGCCAACCCGCGUGGGUGAUGAAGGCCUUCGGGUCGUAAAGCCCUGUCGUGAGGGAAGAAACCUGACGGUACCUCACAAGAAAGCACCGGCUAACCCCGUGCCAGCAGCCGCGGUAAUACGGGGGGUGCAAGCGUUGCUCGGAAUCACUGGGCGUAAAGCGUCCGCAGGCGGCUUGGUAAGUCGGGUGUGAAAGCCCGGGGCUCAACCCCGGAACUGCAUUCGAAACUGCCUCGCUUGAGUACGGGAGAGGGUCGUGGAAUUCCUGGUGUAGAGGUGAAAUUCGUAGAUAUCAGGAGGAACACCGGUGGCGAAAGCGGCGACCUGGCCCGAUACUGACGCUCAUGGACGAAAGCGUGGGGAGCAAACAGGAUUAGAUACCCUGGUAGUCCACGCCGUAAACGAUGGAUGCUAGCUGGUGGGUCUUCUACCGACUCGUCGGCGUCGCUAACGCAUUGAGCAUCCCGCCUGGGGAGUACGGCCGC
rnacentral:rRNA from 1 species